ACGCGAAGCCCCCUUCGGGGGGCAAGUAGAGUGGCGCACGGGUGAGUAACACGUAGGUAAUCUACCUUUGGAUGGGGAAUAACCACCGGAAACGGUGGCUAAUACCGCAUAAUGCAGCGGCACCUAAUGGUGACAGUUGUUAAAGCGGGGGAUCGCAAGACCUCGCGUCUGAAGAGGAGCCUGCGGCAGAUUAGCUAGUUGGUAAGGUAACGGCUUACCAAGGCGAUGAUCUGUAGCCGGCCUGAGAGGGCGGUCGGCCACACUGACACUGACAUACGGGUCAGACUCCUACGGGAGGCAGCAGUCGGGAAUUUUGGGCAAUGGGCGAAAGCCUGACCCAGCAACGCCGCGUGAAGGAUGAAAUCCCUCGGGAUGUAAACUUCGCAAGAACGGGAAGAAUAAGCCGGUGACAACACCACCGGCGAUGACGGUACCGUUUGUAAGCUCCGGCUAACUCCGUGCCAGCAGCCGCGGUAAUACGGGGGGAGCAAGCGUUG
rnacentral:rRNA from 1 species